GACGAACCGUACGAACGUUAUUCGGAAUCACUGGGCUUAAAGGGUGCGUAGGCUGCGCAGCAAGUUGGGUGUGAAAUCCCUCGGCUUAACCGAGGAACUGCGCCCAAAACUGCUGUGCUCGAGGGAGAUAGAGGUGAGCGGAACUUAGGGUGGAGCGGUGAAAUGCGUUGAUAUCCUAAGGAACACCAAUGGCGAAGGCAGCUCGCUGGGACGGUACUGACGCUGAGACGCGAAAGCGUGGGGAGCAAACAGG
rnacentral:rRNA from 1 species